CUGGCUUGCAAACCUCCCCCCAAAGACUCCAGGCCUACAGCGGCCAUGCUCCAGUGCAGACAGACAAUCGGACUGGGACAGUCAUCAAAUGAAAGCAGUCCCUGGAGAAACUAUCACCUGCCCCCAGAGGAGUUAACCUGACUGCCCAGGUUCACCCGUCGGCGGCCUAGCGUGUCACCUUGUGCCAUGAUUACUCUCUUUAAUGGAUGAGGAAAUUGAGGCACGAAUGGGCUUGGAAACUUGCCGAAGUUCCCGCUGGCAGUAAAUGACAACGCUGGGGUGGGGGUGUUCCUAAGAUGCUGCUCCCACCGACAGCUGUGAACCAAUGCGAGGGCCCAUCUCCCACCCAGGGCUCGUGCUAGCCUGGAGCUGCAGACUCUCCCCAGCCACCCCUGCCCGGGAGGGAGAGAGAGGCCUGGCCAACCACACCACCAGCUCGGGAAACAUACAAAGGCCAUGCAGAGGACAGAGCAGCCCGGCAGUGCCUCUGUGGACGUGCGAUGCAGACAUCACAAGAUGAUUUAUGUAACUUCUUACAUAAUGACAAUAUUUCUAUCAAAAACCAGCCCGAGGCAGGCUGUCAGCCGUAAUCAGAGCCGAUGUGCUUCUUGCUUCCUGGGAGCAGGAGGCAUCGAGUCAAAGCAAACCCCUGUGGCUGCCAGGCUAAGGGCUUCCUGACCUGCUGAACUCGCCUGGUGUGGCUGUGUCCUCAGAGGAGGCAGAGACCUGGUAAUGCCCCAGAGGAGUCACAGCCCGGCUCAGCCAGCCCCAUCACCCCUGGAGGCAGCCUACCUCCAGCAACAGAGACCACUGUCAGUGUGAUCAAAUACCACACUGGAAGAGGUUUCAACCACAUUAUUGUACCAUUAGAGGGAGACUGGCUGUGGAGAUGAGAUCUUUGAACUCAGCCCCUACCUGGCUGUGUGAUAUUGAGGUAGUCACUCACCCUGUCUGGGCCUCAGUUUCCUGGUUGAAUUACAUCAUCAAUUCUUGACCUCCAUGCUGAGCACAUGGAUAUGGUGCUAGCAUGCCACAAGUCAGUGCUACUUAUACGUGGCAAAUGAUUUGCUUUUUCCUAAUAUAAAUCAACGCUAUUCAACCUCAUCAAAUCAGGUAAGACCAUGUGCACUCCCCUGUGGAUUCUUGAAAGGGAUAUGAAUGAGUGGGGUUGAAGCUGAUGAGUCUGAGGACUCAAGCCCCAAGAAAAGAGGACAGCCCAGCCCAUCUUCACCAUGUGAAGUCUCAAGAAGGGUGGGG